CAUGAUGGCCUUACCCCUGAGCAGUCAUCCUGUUAAAGGAGGAACCAGUUAGAAGCUGUUUUCAAAGUAGCUGAGCAGAUUUCAUCUCAACAGACAAAGCCGAUGGCAGAAGAUGUCGGAGAAGAACUUCAGGCCGUGGACUGAAAAGUAGAUCAAAGCAGCUCGUGCUCUUCUGCUUCCAAUUUAGAAGAAGAAGAAGA